AUGCGGAGGGUGCAAGCGUUGUUCGGAAUCACUGGGCGUAAAGGGCGCGCAGGCGGUUUGGUAAGUCAGAUGUGAAAGCCCACGGCUCAACCGUGGAAGUGCAUUUGAAACUGUCAGACUUGAGUACUAGAGGGGAAAGUGGAAUUCCCGGUGUAGAGGUGAAAUUCGUAGAUAUCGGGAGGAAUACCGGUGGCGAAGGCGACUUUCUGGCUAGAUACUGACGCUGAGGCGCGAAAGCGUGGGGAGCAAACAGGAUUAGAAACCCCGGUAGUCC
rnacentral:rRNA from 1 species